GCCGCAGCGAGAUGGGAGCGGCUGUCGCGGCACCGCCAGGGUGGCGAGGGAGGAUUCCUUCCCCCUGCGGGGUGCGGAUGCCUCCAGCAGCCCCUGCCAGCCCUGCUGCCGUCCCGCAGCCUGGGAGGGAGCAGACAGGAGCAUGAUGUUGCCUCCCUGCCCACAACCACUUUACUUAAUCCUUGAUUUAUACUGAUACAAUCCAGCCUCACAAGUGUGCCUGAAGAAAGAAAUGCUUGAGGCCAUGGCAGGAGCAACCUGGCAACUGGCUGAGCUCCUCAGGGCAUUCAAGAAAGUUUACCCAGAUUAAGAUCAGAAUUUAUUUAAUUAAUGUAUUUAUUCAUUAUGAUAAAAUGUGAGAUCCUAUAGUGCAGACUUUCAACUUCCCGGCAAAUGGGUGGAAGCAGAGCCAGGAACCUGGGUGUAGAGCACCACAGCAGUGACAAUUCCCUUUCUUGUGUCCCCAGUGGUGUAUUUACAGUGAAUAAAGGCUCAGCUCUGCAUCCUUAGUGCA